CAGGAUGUCAGGUCAGUGCUGUAAUCGAUGGGAGUCUCUGUCACCGCCCAAGUCCCUGUACCAGGAUGUCAGGUCAGUGCUGUAAUCGGUGGGAGUCUCUGUCACCUCCCAAGUCCUUGUACCAGGAUGUCAGGUCAGCGCGGUAAUCGGUGGGAGUCACUGUCACCGGGCAAGUCCCUGUACCAGGAUGUCAGGUCAGUGCUGUAAUCGGUCGGAGUCACUGUCACCGCCCAAGUCCC